rnacentral:rRNA from 1 species
AGUGAACGCUGGCGGUAGGCCUAACACAUGCAAGUCGAACGGCAGCACAGUAAGAGCUUGCUCUUACGGGUGGCGAGUGGCGGACGGGUGAGGAAUACAUCGGAAUCUACUUUUUCGUGGGGGAUAACGUAGGGAAACUUACGCUAAUACCGCAUACGACCUACGGGUGAAAGCAGGGGAUCUUCGGACCUUGCGCGAUUGAAUGAGCCGAUGUCGGAUUAGCUAGUUGGCGGGGUAAAGGCCCACCAAGGCGACGAUCCGUAGCUGGUCUGAGAGGAUGAUUCGGCCCACUGGAAAUUAGACAAGGGCCAGACUCCUACGGGAGGGAGCAGUUGGGAAUUAUUGACAAAGGGCGGAAGGCUGGUCCAGCCAAUCCGGGGGGGGGAAGGAGGCCUUCGGGGUGGAAAGCCCUUUUGUUGGGAAAGAAAAGGAAGAGGUUAAAUCCCCGGUGGUCUGACGGUAACCAAAGAAUAAGGAACCGGCAAAUUCGGG